AACGAGAGCGACCGGUGCUUGCACUGGUCAAUCUAGUGGCGAACGGGUGAGUAACACGUGGGUAACCUGCCCAUCAGAGGGGGAUAACAUUCGGAAACGGAUGCUAAAACCGCAUAGGUCCUUUAACCGCAUGGUUGAAGGAGGAAAAGAGGCGCAAGCUUCUGCUGAUGGAUGGACCCGCGGUGCAUUAGCUAGUUGGUGAGGUAACGGCUCACCAAGGCCGUGAUGCAUAGCCGACCUGAGAGGGUGAUCGGCCACAUUGGGACUGAGACACGGCCCAAACUCCUACGGGAGGCAGCAGUAGGGAAUCUUCCGCAAUGGACGCAAGUCUGACGGAGCAACGCCGCGUGAGUGAAGAAGGUUUUCGGAUCGUAAAACUCUGUUGUUAGAGAAGAACAAGUGCUAGAGUAACUGUUAGCGCCUUGACGGUAUCUAACCAGAAAGCCACGGCUAACUACGUGCCAGCAGCCGCGGUAAUACGUAGGUGGCAAGCGUUGUCCGGAUUUAUUGGGCGUAAAGCGAGCGCAGGCGGUUCCUUAAGUCUGAUGUGAAAGCCCCCGGCUCAACCGGGGAGGGUCAUUGGAAACUGGGGAACUUGAGUGCAGAAGAGGAGAGUGGAAUUCCAUGUGUAGCGGUGAAAUGCGUAGAUAUAUGGAGGAACACCAGUGGCGAAGGCGACUCUCUGGUCUGUAACUGACGCUGAGGCUCGAAAGCGUGGGUAGCAAACAGGAUUAGAUACCCUGGUAGUCCACGCCGUAAACGAUGAGUGCUAAGUGUUGGAGGGUUUCCGCCCUUCAGUGCUGCAGUUAACGCAUUAAGCACUCCGCCUGGGGAGUACGACCGCA
rnacentral:rRNA from 1 species